rnacentral:rRNA from 1 species
CACUACCCGCCAGAGAACUACAAGUGAAAAGCUUAAAACUCUAAGGACUUGGCGGUGCCCCACAUCAACCUAGAGGAGCCUGUCCUAUAAUCGAUAAUCCACGCUCCACCCAACCAUCUUUUGCCAUCAGCCUAUAUACCGCCGUCGUCAACCCACCCUAUGAAAGAGGCACAGUGAGUGAAAUAGUUAUUAACUAAUACGUCAGGUCAAGGUGUAGCACAUGAGAUGGAAGAGAUGGGCUACAUUUUCUAUUGCAGAAAACACGAACAGCUCAAUGAAACUUGGGCUAAAAGGCGGAUUUAGAAGUCAG